UCCUGUAGAAUAGGAUGGAAUAUUUUGAGAAUAUCUGUGAUGCCAACAGAUUUCUUUUGAAGAGCUGGAUUGAGCUGUCAGCCAAAAUGUACUGAUUGCUCUGAGACCCUUUUAAUACACUACAGGUCUUUUAUCACAUUUUGGUUUUACAAAAAGGAGGAAAGAAAAUG
rnacentral:lncRNA from 1 species